rnacentral:rRNA from 1 species
UACGUAGGGGGCAAGCGUUGUCCGGAUUUAUUGGGCGUAAAACGCUCGUAGGUGGCCACGUCAAGUCGGAUGUGAAAUCUCCCGGCUCAACUGGGAGGGGUCAUUCGAUACUGGCGGGCUCGAGGCCGGUAGGGGGAAGCGGAAUUCCGGGUGUAGUGGUGGAAUGCGUAGAUAUCCGGAGGAACACCAGUGGCGAAGGCGGCUUCCUGGACCGGUUCUGACACUGAGGCGCGAAAGCGUGGGGAGCAAACAGG